AUGGAUUCAUUAGAACAACUCAGACAAUUUCAGGACAUAGUUUGCACAAGGUACCUGACAGACAAUGCGACCCUGCAGACACUAGAGCAAGCAGAUCCAGCAGCCUCAAGUAGACUAGCCGAUGCCAACCGCACAAAUGAAAUCGUAGCCAGAACAGAACCAAGAGAAAGGAGAAAAAAAAGAGGAAGAAGAGAGGAAGAGAAGAACAAAGAAUGUACCAAUAGCACGCCAGGCCAAGAUGAACUCCAACAGCAGGAUGGUGUCAACAACCCCAAAAACACAAAUGAACGGAACAAACAAAGCAACCUCACAACAGACAAUGCUACAACAACAACUACCCCAACACAAGCACAAGAUACGAUCAACGUCAGAACCUGUGAAGAGACUCAGCUGAAGAACAAUCAAGUCAGCAGCCCCGCCAACCAAAUGCAAGACGCUAACCCACAAUCAACCGUUAGCAUAACAAAUGACAAAGAAGAAGAAAACAACGAGGAGGAGGUAUCACAAGCACUGCAAGACCAAGAGACAACCCGUGUUGAAAUUGAACCCCAUAGUGAACCUCAAACAGACGAAGGCGUCACAGAACAGGAACUUUGUGUACAAGAGAUUUCCAGCGCCACAACAUUCCAGAUCACCAUCACGAGUACAAAGGAGAAAGCGCAAGACAUCCCGGCCAAUGAGAAACAAGAGACUGUUAUACCUGACAAAGAAACAGUAGAUGCAGGCACAAAUAACCCAGUCAUCAACACGGAGGAAACAAACGAGUACGCUGAUAUCGAAGAUCAAGAACUUCAAACAACAACAUCUGAAGAGGUGACGUUACAAAGCUCAGACACAAAUGAAGUUCAAUCUAUAAAUUCAAUUUUUAUUAAACAGGAACAGGAAGCAUGCAAAAGCAGUAACAUAGACAUUCAACAAGAAAAACUAGAGGACAACACGAGACAAGCAGAAGCCGUAGUACAAGCAGUAGACAGUCCUGCAACUCCAGAGAUAGAGGCACAAGAAGCUCAAGAAACCAUCAACAAUCAAGACCAUCAAACACAACCAGAGGAGCCUAAUGAACAACCCGAACAUGUUCUUCAAACGAUAGACAAUAAUGCCACUGAAGACCAAGCCACAAAAAAUUCACUCACCAAACAACAGGUACCAGAGACAGGGGCAGCGUCAACGACUGAAAAGAGAGAGGAGACCAAUGAGCAAAAGGAGGACACUGAAGAAGGGCAACAUGUUCUUCAAAAGGCAGUCAUGAACGUAACAGAAGACCAAGCCCCAAAAUAUUCACUCACCGAAAAACACGCAGCAGAGAGGGCAGCAGCAACAACGACUGAAAAGCUACAAGACAAAAAUGACGGCAGCGGCGAUGAACUACAAAAGAAAGAAGAAGAAGAUGCCCAAAAACCUCCACUCUACGAAGAACAAGCACAACAUUCAGCAACAACGAUUGAGGAGAAACACGAAGAAGGCGACCACGGAGAUACAAAGGUCAGUGCCAACCAGGUCGAGACUGAAAAACAAGACGGAAAAGACCACCAGCAAGACACGUAA
rnacentral:rRNA from 1 species